AAAAGCUCAAAUUUAAAAUCUGGCAGUCUUUGGCUGUCCGAAUUGUAAUCUAAAGAAGUGUUGCCCACACUGGACCGUGUAUAAUUCUUCUGGAAUGAAGCGUCAUAUAGGGUGAGAAUCCCGUCUUUGACAUGGACUCCCAGUGUAUUGUGGCGUGCUCUCAAAGAGUCGAGUUGUUUGGGAAUGCAGCUCUAAAUGGGUGGUAACCUCCAUCUAAAGCUAAAUAUUGGCGAGAGACCGAUAGUGAACAAGUACCGUGAGGGAAAGAUGAAAAGAACUUUGGAAAGAGAGUUAAACAGUACGUGAAAUUGUUGAAAGGGAAACGCUUGAAGUCAGUCACAUUGGCCAGGGAUCACCCCAGCUCUUUUGCUAAGUGCACUUCCUGGUUUGAUGGGCCAAUAUCAGUUUUUGACUGCCAGAGAAGGGCAGAAGGAAUGUGGCACCUUCCGGGGUGUGUUAUAGCCUUUUGUCAUAUAUGGCAGUUGGGACUGAGGAAAGCAGCGCGCCCACAAGGGCCGGGUUUCGACCACGUUCGCGCUUUGGAUGUUGGCAAUAAUGGCUUUAAUCGACCCGUCUUGAAACACGGACCAAGGAGUCUAACAUAUCUGCGAGUGU
rnacentral:rRNA from 1 species